rnacentral:rRNA from 1 species
UGCGUAGGCUGUGCGGAAAGUUAGGUGUGAAAUCCCCCGGCUCAACCGGGGAAUUGCGCUUAAAACUACCGUGCUAGAGGAAUACAGAGGUGAGCGGAACUUCGGGUGGAGCGGUGAAAUGCGUUGAUAUCCGAAGGAACACCGGUGGCGAAAGCGGCUCACUGGGUUAUUUUCUGACGCUGAUGCACGAAAGCUAGGGGAAGGCAAACG